GGGGCUCCAGACUUCAUUCCGGCUCACCGUUCCCCAUUUAGGGUCUUCCCUUCUCCGCGCUUAAGAUGAAGAAGGAGUCCGUGUUUUUCCGUAGCCUGUCUCCGUACACCACCAGGGGAAUCCCCCUUCUGACACUUCCGGAAACUUUGCGACCCCUGGACACUGUCCCUCCUCGUGCUAUCAGCUGGACCACAAGUUUUUCCAGGGCUAAAUAAAUCGAAGAUGAUCACGCUCUUCCCUCAUUGCUGCAGUGGUUUCCCCAAAGUUUCCAGCUCAUUAGUUUAAGCCUAAUUGGAAUUCUCAGGUUCCUUUCAGCCAUGGAAAAGGCCCAAGUUAGCAUCCUUAGCUUUACACCUGAGGCUGUCUCCGUGGGAGUCAGAUCAGCCCUGCCCAUGUCCUUGGAGGUCUCUGGAAGGAAGAGCGAGCAAGGGAGGCUGAGCUGGGCAGAGAGGCUGCAGAGGAUAUUUGAAGUUUCUCUCUUGCUUGAUUCAGAAUACAUUCGUUGGAUUUAGGGUACACAUCCACUGAGAAAGAAUCAAGGCCAAAGUCAAAGGAGAAAAUGGAGUGAGCCAGUGUGUUUUGAGAAAAUAAUACUGUGGUCUCAUCGCAUCCUCCUCAAUCACUGCGCCACCUGCCUGCCAAGAUACGAACUUGCAAGAACAUCAUCAUUCCCCAAAGGACAUCCAUGGCUAGGUCAAAGAAGGCACAGCUCAUGGACAAUGCCCUGCCUAGAAUUCACCUUUCACCACCAUUCUGCAGGACUUCCAGAAUAACGAUUCUGCAGCUUCCUGUCUCCCUUUCCUCUCUGUGAUCAGUGUCACCAUUCCCCCAGCAGAACACCACUACUGUGGGCCUUGCCUCUGGGAGGUAGGCAGGGCAAAAAUUAGUCCACCCAUUUUUGCUGGUGGGAGAAGAAGGCACCAAAAGGGAAAAGAUUUUCCUCAGUGCUACACAACUUGUCUUCCUGACUGACAGACCAAAAAGCUUUCUAAUCCUUUUCUUAGAGUAUUCCUGAUUUAAUCUUUGCAAAAGCUCUAGUUCAAUGCCUGAGCAAUCCAGGACUUGACUUCUUACUCCUAGUGCUCCAAAAUAAUCCAAUGACCACAACCUAAGGGUCUGUGCAGAUGAAUCAAGGGACUUACUCCUGCCUCUUUUUGGUAGCUUUUGCAACAUUUGCAAGUAAGAAAAAUGCUGAGAUCAUCCUUCCCACUUACAAACACUCUUGGGAAUGAGAGAAGUCAGGAAGUACAACAUCUCUAAGAGUUUCAUUUACUUCCAUUUCUGACUUGCUUUCCUGGUGUCUGCUUUUGUCAUAAUGUUCUCCAAAACAAGGUCCCUUUGUUUCAGGAAAAUAAGUCAUUCUACCAAAAAAAAAACGCAUGCACUUCUAUGUUCAUCACAGCCCUAUUCACAAUGGCAAAGACAUGGAAUCAACCUGAAUGUCUGUCAAUAGUACAUUGGAUAAAGGAAAUGUGGUAUGUGUACACUGUGGAAUACUAUGCAACCAGGAAAGAAAAUCAUGUUCUUUGCAGCAACAUGGUUGCAGCUGGAGGCUAUUAUCCUAAGUGAAUUAACACAGAAAGAGAAAACCAAAUAUCCCAUGUUCUCACUUAUAAGUGGGAACCAACUCUUGGGUUCACACAGACAUAAAGAUGAGAACAAUAGACUCACACUGGGGACUCCAAAAGGAGGGAGGGAGGAAGGGGAGCAAGGGCUGAAAAGCUGCCUAUUGGACACUGUGUUCACUAGCUGGAUGGCAGGAUGAAUAGAAGCGCUAACCUCAGCAUCACACGAUAUACCCUUGUAACAAACCUGUACAUGCACCCUCAAAUCAAAAAUAAAAAUGGAAUUUUUUUUAAAGCCCUUUGUUUCACAAUGGCCUCCCUGGAAGAUGCAUCCCUUCUUCAGCCUUGGUAUCCCACAGCUGCCAAGCACCCUGCUUCCCAAAGAUGAGACAAUCAUUUGAUGGUUUAAAAAAUUAUACACCGUGAUGCUUUUAGGAGAGGUAAGGCUCUUUCUGUGAAACCAGGAAAUUCUGCUUUUGCUAUAUUUUUGCAAAGACAAACAUUUUUUUUUCAGAGCAGGAGUGAAAGUUUAUUUAAAAGUUAUAGAACAGUAAGGAAAGGAAGGAAAGGAAAGAAAAGAAGGAGAGUACAACUUGGAAGAGGGUCAAGUGGGCAGCUUGAGAAACCAAGUACACAGCUUGACCUCUUGACUUGGGGUUUCAUAUGGUUUGGCUGCGUCCCCACCCAAAUCUCCUCUUGAAUUGUAACUCCCUCCCAUAAUUCCCACAUGUCAUGGGAAGGACCCAGUGGGAGGGAAUUGAAUCAUGAGGGCGAGUCUUUCCCAUGCUGUUCUCAUGACAGUGAAUAAGUCUUAUGAGACCUGAUGGUUUUAUAAAGGGGAGUUCCCCUACACAAGCCCUCUUGCCUAUUGCCAUGUAAGACAUGAUGUUGCUCCUCAUUUGCCUUCCGCCAUGAUUGUGAGGCCUCCUCAGCCAUGUGAACUGUGAGUUCAUUAAACCUCUUUCCUUUAUAAAU
rnacentral:lncRNA from 1 species